rnacentral:rRNA from 1 species
UACAGAGGGUGCGAGCGUUAAUCGGAAUUACUGGGCGUAAAGCGCACGUAGGUGGCGACGUAAGUCGGGUGUGAAAGCCCCGGGCUCAACCUGGGAAUUGCAUUCGAGACUGCAUUGCUGGAGUACGGAAGAGGAGGGCGGAAUUCCCGGUGUAGCAGUGAAAUGCGUAGAUAUCAGGAGGAAUACCCGUGGCGAAGGCGGCUUCCUGGGGCACCACUGACGCUGAGAAGCGAAAGCUAGGGGAGCAAACGGG